rnacentral:rRNA from 1 species
UAGAAUAAUAAAAGGCUGUAUAUUAAACCAUUAGUACCGUAAAAAUGAUGGACUAGUUUCAUUUAUUAGGGAAAAGGGUAGAAGAAUUUCUAUAAAAAAAAACGAAGUGAAUUGAAGUAUCUUAUUAGCUUCAGGAAAAUAAAUCAAACGAGAUUCUAUUAGUAGUGUGAAUGAAAAUAGAUAAAGGCUUAAAGUAAAAUGGAUACAUCUGUUUGAAUAUAGGGGAACCUUCCUCUAAGCCUUAAUAUAAUAUACAAGCGAUAAUGAACAGUACUGUGAAGGAAAACAGAAAUUAGUAGUCUUAUAAGCAGCUCAAGGUAAGUUUAAUAAACAUAUGAGAGCGUACCUUUUGUAUAAUGGGUCAGCAAGUUCUAGUUAGAUGCAAGCAAAUACUCAGUGUAUAAAAAAAAAAAGGGAUUUGCCUAGAUAAUCCAAUUAUUAAGUAAUGAAUAAGUAUCUAAUUAGAGACCCGAAGAGUAGUGAUCUUACCAUGGUCAGGCUUAUAAAAGGCCGAAUGGGUUAUCGUUGUAAAGAUAUCCAAAGAACUGUGGUAAGUUAGUGAAAGACAAUCCUGACUACUAUAGCUGGUUUUCCGCGAAACAUAUGUAAGUAUGUAGUUUAAAUAACAUCAUAGCAGGUACAGAACUGUGAUCUCGGACAAUUUGUGCAUUAAUAUCCUAUUAGGGUAUAUAAUGCCUUGUGCAUAUGGGGGGGUCGUGAAGACUCUAUUCGCGAGUAUUUGCUCUCGGAAGGGCAAUGAUGAAUGUUGAACUAUCAGACAUUUAACGAUAAGGUUGUGUGUCAAAAGGGAAACAGCCCAGAACAAGUGUUUAAGGUUCCAAAGUUUUUGUUAAGUGAAAGUAAGGAAGUAUUUAAACUAUACAACCAGGAAAUAGGCUUAGAAGCGGCCAUUUUUUAAAGACCUCGUAACAGAGCACUGGUUCAAAUGGUUAAUUCGUUAACCUAAUUAGUUAAAAGCGCCGAAGAUAUAACGGAUCUAAAACAAAACACCGACACCUUGUCCAUAAUAAUUAUAUUAGGUAUAAUCCUAGUUUACUAUACUUAAAGGUUAUUUAAGUAUUAUUUAUGGGGUAGCGGAACAUUGGGUAAAUAGGUUUUAAAUAGAUAGUACUCCUUCGGUUCUAAAUAGAUAGAACUUACCUCUUUCCCAAGUGAGAGAAGGUUGGUCUUUUAUUAAUUUAUAAUAACUGACUAUACAGGAUAAUUUAUAGUUACGUCUAUUUCAUAAUUACAUUUGUAAUUUGCUCGCUAUAUAGCGGGUUACCGUACAUAUCCCAAGUGAGAAUGCUGACACGAGUAACGAAAAAGAGAACUUAGUAUUACACUACUAUGUAAAAUGUUCUCUCGCCUUAAGCUUAUGGGAAAGUUAAUCGGUCUCUAAAUUAAACCUAAAGGAUAAAAUGAUGAGGAGAUUAUAUGUGACAACAUAAAGAAAUGGAGUAAAAUGUUCUGGAAAAGCAUAUAAUAUACAAGAAAGGAGCAAUGAGGAAAUGGAGAAAUUGUUCUAGGUUAUAAACUAAAAAGAAGAUACUACUUCCUUGUAUAUACUAAAACCGUACCUAAAAACUACCACAAGUAAGCUAGUAGAGAAUACGAAGGCGUUUGAGCUAACAAUCAUUAAGGAACUCGGCAAAUUGACACCGUAACUGAGGGAGAAGGUGUGCCAUUCCUACUGAUUAAUAUCAGUUUAGGAAGAGGAGACAUAAAAUGGUGUUGCACGACUGUUUAAUUAAAACACAGCACUUUGCGUAAGAUGUAAAUCAAUGUAUAGAGUGCGCUAUCUGCCCAAUGAUGGCUGGUUAACGGAUUUACUUAGACGACUAAAAUAGGCUAGGUUUUGAAGGAACCCCCAUUUAAUGGCGGCCUUACCUAUGAGGGUCCUAAGGUAGCGAAAUACCUUGGCAUUUAAAUGAUGUCGCGCAUGAAUGAUCUCACGAUGCAACAGCUGUCUCAAUGAUUGGCUCAGUGAAAUUGGAAUGGCAGUGAAGAUACUGCCUAUCUCUAGAUAGACGAGAAGACCCCAUGCAGCUUUACUGUUACUAGUUAUAGGGUAUAAUUUAACAGGUUUUAGGGAAUAAGGUAGUUGAGCGACAAAAUUGAAACACCUUUACUCUGGUUGUUAUAUCAGUAGAAUAGGUUACAUUAUUGUAACUGACGUCUGAAUGUAAUCCAUAAAAGGAGGGAGAUUAUAUCAAGCUCAGGAGACAAUGGCUAGCAGAUGGUUUAUGCGGGGCACAGAUCCCAUAAAGAGUACCUGGGAGUAUCCAAAUUUAUUUUUGUAAUAUGCUAUACGCAAAUUAUAUAGGGCUUUUAUUAAAUAAUUGCCUUGUAUAUUUUAAUUUUUUAAUUACUAUAUUUACUUUGUUAUUUUUUAUAUUUACAAUUUUUUUUUAAAAAUGGUAUCUAUAACUAAUUCAGUUAUAUUUCUAUUUAAGUUAGAACUAAAACAAUUUAAUAUAAGUAAGAUUUUACCUAUGUGGAAAAUAGGUGUAUAUAUAGUAUUAAUAAUUACUAUCUAAUUGUAAAAGAAGAUAUAAUUAUAACACUAUUAGUUAUUUUUUUUUACAGAAUAUCUGUAUAAGAAAUGAUGUUGAUAUAUACUUCCAAAGUUUAAUGGCUUAAUCUU